CGCCAUAGUGAGUCUCCAUGCUUCUCCUCUCCGAGAUGGACACAGGUUAAGAUCUCUCCUGGUGAUCUGUGCUUGAUGACCACACCAAUUGAUACUGGUGUAAGAAUGAAGAGGAGUGUAGACACAAUCUUUAAAACGGGAACAUGGAAGACACCUGCUAACCCUAAUAGCCUACUGUACAAGUAAGAAUUGACAGGCAUCAUUAUCAGGGCCAGGGAUGUCGAUGUGCAAGUCAUCAAGAUGGCCAAAGUGACAUCUCCUUCCAGAAGGAACGCAAAAAGAUAGCCCCCACCUCCUCCUGGGCAUGUGCAGGUCAUUACAAAUCCAAAAGCCUGUGCUUCGUGCAGUCCCAAAAUCUGAGACAAAAGGAAACCACAGAAGGGCAUCAGAAAAAACUGUGUCGCUGCCCCGAGGACCACUGGCAGAGGUCGUUUCCAGACGGUUUGGAGUGCCUGGAACUCAAUCUUGCAGCCAAAGGCACAUUUAUUUAAAAGGAUCAUGGAUAAAACAAGCAGCAAGAUAUACUGAUUGACAUGCACUGGUGCCUGGAAGAGGCUGUCUUCCGUCUGCCCGAGCACUCUGACUUUAACAUCUGUUAUCUCUUCAAUGAGUCUUUUGUGCCUACCUUCAGAAUCCCAGAGCUGAACGGUCAUGUUCGUCUCUCCUGGGAAAGUAAUUAGGCUGAUGGUAAAGUCUGUGGCGUCCCGCGAGGUCUUGGUCACAUUCACCAGCUGCAGCACCUUUGGAUCUCCUACUUUCACAAAAAGGAAAACAAUAAAAUUAAAGCAGCCAGGGGCGGAGGUAUCUACAAUAGAUACUAAUGCAUGGAGAUCAUUAUCAGCAUUCCAUCAAGUCAGAAGCAAACUGCAUAUCUACCUACAUGCUGCUGUGACCCGAGAGUUUUCCCAACCCUUCUUCAUACUGAAAAGUUUGGGACUAACACCUGAACACUGCAGUUGGAAGAAUACUAUCGCCCAGCUCUCUCAUGUAUUCCCGUCCUUUAGGCUGAUGCCCAUUGGUACCAGGGAUUUAACUCAACUGUUCAUCUGCACUCCUCUCCUAUGUUUUGUGUGUCUCCCAGGACAAUUUUAAUUGUCUGUCAGCAACGGAAACACCAGGGAGGAUGGGGACAGUGUAACCCAACCGUCUCAUUAGGCAAACUUACUCGAAGCCUUGGGCUUUCUGCUUUCAGAGUGAUUUGGACACAGGGAGUUAGGGGGACUGAGACUCUCAUCCACACCUUGUCCUCUUUAGACUACGCAUGCUUUAGCUGCCAGUUUUUAGUGCCCAGGAUGUUUAUCCCUGGCGUCCUCCAGAGCUGCGGGCUCCACCCCCUAGGACCUGGCCUUGCUUAAAGUGUACUCACUUUGUCGGGCCCUCUGGAUGGAUGGCCUUGAUCCUUUUGUCUGAUUAAGGAGAGAAGACAUUCUUUCAUCCUUCCUAGGUUUCAAUCCCUGCCAAUCUCAUUUGCCCUCUUCUUAAAAGAUAUUAUUUUUUGGCAUUUAGUUUUCAUUCAAUUAUAUGUGCUGACCACCUAUUGUGUGCAAGUAAUUGCAAUUAAUAUAAGUACUGGUUGGAAAACUUUUUGGCAUCUCAAAAUAAUAAUAAUAACAAACAAAAACAAAAUGAACCAAAACCAACUUCUGGCAUAUGGAUUUUUAAACAUUAUUUCUCUCACUAGCGUGAUAGUUUCCGAUUAAACAGCUAUUGGGACGUG